rnacentral:rRNA from 1 species
GUGAGGAAUUUUCCGCAAUGGGCGAAAGCCUGACGGAGCAAUGCCGCGUGAAGGAUGAAGGCCUAUGGGUUGUAAACUUCUUUUCUCAGAAAAGAAUUAUGACGGUAUCUGAGGAAUAAGCAUCGGCUAACUCUGUGCCAGCAGCCGCGGUAAGACAGAGGAUGCAAGCGUUAUCCGGAAUGAUUGGGCGUAAAGCGUCUGUAGGUUGUUUAAAAAGUAUUCUGUCAAAGAUUAGGGCUUAACCCUAGAUAGGCAGAAUAAACUUUUAAGCUAGAGUGUGGUAGAGGCAGAGGGAAUUCCCGGUGGAGCGGUGAAAUGCGUAGAUAUCGGGAGGAACACCAAAGGCGAAGGCACUCUGCUGGGCCAAUACUAACACUGAGAGACGAAAGCGAGGGGAGCAAAUGGGAUUAGAAACCCGUGUAGUCC